UACGGGGGGGGCAAGCGUUGUUCGGAAUUACUGGGCGUAAAGGGCUCGUAGGUGGCCAACUAAGUCAGACGUGAAAUCCCUCGGCUUAACCGGGGAACUGCGUCUGAUACUGGAUGGCUUGAGAUUGGGAGAGGGAUGCGGAAUUCAAGGUGUAGCGGUGAAAUGCGUAGAUAUCUGGAGGAACACCGGUGGCGAAGGCGGCAUCCUGGACCAACACUGACGCUGAGGAGCGAAAGCCAGGGGAGCAAACGGG
rnacentral:rRNA from 1 species